GAUGAACGCUGGCGGCGUGCUCAACACAUGCAAGUCGAACGAAGCACUUUAUUUGAUUUCCUUCGGGACUGAUUAUUUUGUGACUGAGUGGCGGACGGGUGAGUAACGCGUGGGUAACCUGCCUUGUACAGGGGGAUAACAGUUGGAAACGGCUGCUAAUACCGCAUAAGCGCACGGCAUCGCAUGAUGCAGUGUGAAAAACUCCGGUGGUAUAAGAUGGACCCGCGUUGGAUUAGCUAGUUGGUGAGGUAACGGCCCACCAAGGCGACGAUCCAUAGCCGACCUGAGAGGGUGACCGGCCACAUUGGGACUGAGACACGGCCCAAACUCCUACGGGAGGCAGCAGUGGGGAAUAUUGCACAAUGGGCGAAAGCCUGAUGCAGCGACGCCGCGUGAGCGAAGAAGUAUUUCGGUAUGUAAAGCUCUAUCAGCAGGGAAGAUAAUGACGGUACCUGACGAAGAAGCACCGGCUAAAUACGUG
rnacentral:rRNA from 1 species